GAUGGAGAACGCAGCGAAAUGCGAUAAGUAAUGUGAAUUGCAGAAUUCAGUGAAUCAUCGAAUCUUUGAACGCACAUUGCGCCCGUCAGUAUUCUGGCGGGCAUGCCUGUUCGAGCGUCAUUACGCCCCUCAAGUCCCCUGUGGACUUGGUGUUGGGGAUCGGCGAGGCUGGUUUUCCAGCACAGCCGUCCCUUAAAUUAAUUGGCGGUCUCGCCGUGGCCCUCCUCUGCGCAGUAGUAAAACACUCGCAACAGGAGCCCGGCGCGGUCCACUGCCGUAAAACCCCCCAACUUUUUAUAGUUGACCUCGAAUCAGGUAGGACUACCCGCUGAACUUAAGCAUAUCAAUAAGCGGAGGA
rnacentral:misc_RNA from 1 species